AUUGAACGCUGGCGGCAUGCCUUACACAUGCAAGUCGAACGGCAGCACGGGGCAACCUGGUGGCGAGUGGCGAAGGGGUGAGUAAUGCAUCGGAACGUACCUUUCAGUGGGGGAUAACGUAGCGAAAGUUACGCUAAUACCGCAUAUUCUGUGAGCAGGAAAGCAGGGGAUCGCGAGACCUUGCGCUGAUUGGGCGGCCGAUGUCAGAUUAGCUAGUUGGUGAGGUAAAGGCUCACCAAGGCGACGAUCUGUAGCGGGUCUGAGAGGAUGAUCCGCCACACUGGAACUGAGACACGGACCAGACUCCUACGGGAGGCAGCAGUGGGGAAUUUUGGACAAUGGGGGCAACCCUGAUCCAGCCAUGCCGCGUGAGUGAAGAAGGCCUUCGGGUUGUAAAGCUCUUUCGGCCGGGAAGAAAUCGCACGGGCUAAUACCCUGUGUGGAUGACGGUACCGGAAUAAGAAGCACCGGCUAACUACGUGCCAGCCGCCGCGGUAACAC
rnacentral:rRNA from 1 species